UGAAGAACAGGAGAAAAAGGACCUCGUGGAAAUUCCUGGUAGACACGUUCAGUCAAUUGCCUCACAUAAAAGCGUUGAGGCGCUUAAUAGCUCAAUUGUUGAAUACCCUGGGACCAACGAGUCCGACAUCGUCUUCGUAUUAACGAGAAAGGUCCUCAUCAAUGAAAGUUCUCAAGAGUGGUAUUGGGAUCUCAGGUAAGCGAUGGGUCGUCGUCUUGGUCACCUUCGAAUGGUUCCGACGACUGGGCUGACGUACUUUGGAUUGAACCACGCGGCAUCGCGUCACCAGCACGCGUGGC